rnacentral:rRNA from 1 species
GUGGGGAAUAUUGGGCAAUGGGCGAAAGCCUGACCCAGCAACGCCGCGUGAAGGAAGAAGGUCUUCGGAUCGUAAACUUCUAUCCUUGGUGAAGAUAAUGACGGUAGCCGAGAAGGAAGCCCCGGCUAACUACGUGCCAGCAGCCGCGGUAAUACGUAGGGGGCAAGCGUUGUCCGGAAUGAUUGGGCGUAAAGGGCGCGUAGGCGGCCUGGUAAGUCUGGAGUGAAAGUCCUGCUUUUAAGGUGGGAAUUGCUUUGGAUACUGUCGGGCUUGAGUGCAGGAGAGGUAAGUGGAAUUCCCGGUGUAGCGGUGAAAUGCGUAGAGAUCGGGAGGAACACCAGUGGCGAAGGCGACUUACUGGACUAUAACUGACGCUGAGGCGCGAAAGUGUGGGGAGCAAACAGGAUUAGAUACCCUUGUAGUCC